GCUAGACUGAUGGCGACCGGCGCACGGGUGCGUAACGCGUAUGCAACUUGCCUCACAGAGGGGGAUAACCCGUCGAAAGACGGACUAAUACCGCGUACACUCCAGUCUGGGCAUCCAGGCUAGAGGAAAUGAAAUUCGCUGUGAGAUAGGCAUGCGUCCCAUUAGCUAGUUGGUGAGGUAACGGCUCACCAAGGCAACGGUGGGUAGGGGAACUGAGAGGUUGAACCCCCACACUGGUACUGAGACACGGACCAGACUCCUACGGGAGGCAGCAGUGAGGAAUAUUGGUCAAUGGGCGAGAGCCUGAACCAGCCAAGUCGCGUGAAGGAUGACUGUCUUAUGGAUUGUAAACUUCUUUUGUAGGGGAAUAAAGAACAGUACGUGUACUGUAGUGAAUGUACCCUACGAAUAAGCAUCGGCUAACUCCGUGCCAGCAGCCGCGGUAAUACGGAGGAUGCGAGCGUUAUCCGGAUUUAUUGGGUUUAAAGGGUGCGUAGGCGGCCUGUUAAGUCAGCGGUGAAAUCUAGGGGCUUAACUCCUAAAUUGCCAUUGAUACUGGUGGGCUUGAGUGUAGAUGAGGUAGGCGGAAUGCGUGGUGUAGCGGUGGAAUGCAUAGAUAUCACGCAGAACUCCAAUUGCGAAGGCAGCUUACUAAGGUACAACUGGCGCUGAAGCACGAAAGCGUGGGUAUCAAACAGGAUUGGAUACCCUGGUAGUCCACGCAGUAAACGAUGAUAACUGGGCGUAUGCGAUAUACAGUAUGCUCCUAAGCGAAAGCGUUNAGUUAUCCACCUGGGGAGUACGCCCGC
rnacentral:rRNA from 1 species